rnacentral:tRNA from 1 species
UCCAUGGUGGCUCAGAUGGUAAAGCGUCUGCCUACAAUGCAGGAGACCUGGGUUCAAUCCCUGGGUCAGGAA